UAUAUAUAUACAGCAUUAAAAGUCUAUAACCUUCCUAAAUAGUUAGCAUGGCCUGGAUUGUGAAACUAGAGUUCCUGGGGUAUUUGUUUUCCUUUUUGCAGCCUUUGCUGCUUUAGACAAAAAAAAAUUAAUCUUAGACAAACAUGAAGAGAACUGUCUAUGGUAUAGCCUUCUCAAAACACAAAAGAUAGCUCAAGGAUUAAAAGAGAUAGCAAUAUGUUGCCUAAGAUUUUGAAACUAUCAUGACAAGCUAAGAUUUUGAAACUAUCAUGACAAGCUAAGGGACAGUCUCAUAAACUAGGGUCAGAGUAGGUGAACUCCUACCAUGUCCCGAAGCCACUGCUCUCGUUCAAUUCGCUCCUUCCUCCACCUGGCUUCUGACUCAUCAAGCUGUUCUUCAGUCUGAUCAUCAUCAGAGUCUCUGUGGAACAAGUCCAUCUGGGAAGCAUCAUCUAAACAAAGAGUGAAGUUCCUCAUCAGAAGGAAGUACUUCAUCAAUUACGUCCUCUUCAUAUUCAUCAAUUUCUUCCCCAUCAUACUCAUCUUCGCUUCCCACAUCACUUCCUGACACCUCUGCCUCAUCCUCCAGAUCGCUUCAGGAGUUCUUCUUCAUCAUCAUCUUCAUGGUCUUCCAGUGCCAGAUCAUUACCAGAGUCACUGUGUUCAUCCUACAAAAUCAGCAUCAUAUCCAAAUUAAGCAGAAUAAAAUGCGUCCUCAAUGAAAAAAGGAUUUAUAAACAUCUGCCCAAAUACCUCAUUCUAGGAAAUUGUUUCUGAUAAGAUGCCAAACUUAGAAUUCUCAAGAACUGAGGGGAAAAAAACACUUGAGGGCAGCAAUACAUGGAGCUCAGUUAUGAUUACUUUGUUCCCUUCAUACUCACCUCAUCACUAUCAAACUCAUUAUCAUUUGAAACAAGCCGAAAGUCUCCAAAUUCCUCCUCCUCGUCUUCCUCUUCCCUAAAAUGUAAAUCAAUGAAUCAAUAAAUAAGUUGUUGAAAGCAAA
rnacentral:lncRNA from 10 species